CACUGUCUCUCUCUGGGUCGCAUACUCUGUGAGAGAACCGAGUUUGUUUUGAGUGGAAACUGCUUUUGGCGGCAUUUCUCGUUCGAGUGGAUUGCGGCAUUCGAAUGGAUUUGCCAGGAAGGAAGCCAUCAAUGGCAGCAUUUGAGCGCUCAAAUGGCUUUGGGGUCGCAGGUUGUAUUCAGGAUUCCAGACUGCCACAGUCCGACGCCUUCCCCUGAGCUUCCAAAUAUUUGAACAUGUCUCCGCUUGACAAUGCCAUUAGGACCGACAAUCCGUAAGAACUAAAUAAUGGUAUGGCGCCAAGGAGGUAUGGACCUUCGUCGGCUACUAAAGCAGCCAUAUCGUGAUUUUGGAUUAUACCUUUACGUGAGCUGCGACAUCAAUUCGGAGACUUACGGAGACUGCUAAACCUCCAGCGAGCAAUAGCUUCCGUCUCUGGACGCUUCUGUCGCUAGAGGAUAUCUGCACCUAUGUAAAAGUCCCUGAAUUUCUAGAUGGAUACAGCAGAUUCAUCCCUCUAGAGGGGACGUAUAACGACCGAAUCAGAUGAGAAAUGGAGAGUUAUAAAAAUUAAAAAUCCUAAUCCUUGAAAACGAUUGACAAUCUGUCUUCCUUACAUUAUUGUACAUCCAAUGGCAUUAAAAUCGAGCUUAAUACAUAUU